rnacentral:other from 1 species
AUGCCCCUGCGAUGUUGGUGAUGGCCAUAAUUAUUUGAGCCAACAUUCUAUUUGACGGGAGCCCGGGUUGCGAUGCCGUGUGCGAGCUUUUCCCCAGGGAACUUGCUUGCCUGACGCAGCGCGCAGGGCGCCCCCUUGGCACCAAGGUUCAAAUAGAAAGGCCACACGGCAAAGCGGGGGUUUC